UGAUUCAAGGGACUGGGACGAGGAGUUUAGGCUCUGAAGCAAUCGGAAGUGGUUCCAAGAAAAGCCUCUAAGCUUCAGUCAUACGAGACCGUACCGCAAACCGACACAGGUGGGCGAGAUGAGUAUUCUAGGCGCUUGAGAGAACUCGGGAGAAGGAACUCGGCAAAUUGGUACCGUAACUUCGGGAAAAGGUACGCCCUUGUAGCUUGGCUGAUUUACUUCAGUAGGGCGAACGGGUUGCAAUAAACUGGUGGCUGCGACUGUUUAAUAAAAACACAGCACUCUGCAAACACGAAAGUGGACGUAUAGGGUGUGACGCCUGCCCGGUGCUGGAAGAUUAAAUGAUGGGGUGCAAGCUCCUGAUUGAAGUCCCAGUAAACGGCGGCCGUAACUAUAACGGUCCUAAGGUAGCGAAAUUCCUUGUCGGGUAAGUUCCGACCUGCACGAAUGGCGUAACGAUGGCCACACUGUCUCCUCCCGAGACUCAGCGAAGUUGAAGUGUUUGUGAUGAUGCAAUCUACCCGCGGCUAGACGGAAAGACCCCAUGAACCUUUACUGUAGCUUUGCAUUGGACUUUGAAUCAAUCUGUGUAGGAUAGGUGGGAGGCUUUGAAGCGGGGACGCCAGUUCUCGUGGAGCCAACCUUGAAAUACCACCCUGGUUCAUUUGAGGUUCUAACCUUGGCCCGUUAUCCGGGUCGGGGACAGUGCAUGGUAGGCAGUUUGACUGGGGCGGUCUCCUCCUAAAGUGUAACGGAGGAGUUCGAAGGUACGCUAGGUACGGUCGGACAUCGUGCUAAUAGUGCAAUGGCAUAAGCGUGCUUAACUGCGAGACUGACAAGUCGAGCAGGUACGAAAGUAGGACAUAGUGAUCCGGUGGUUCUGUAUGGAAGGGCCAUCGCUCAACGGAUAAAAGGUACUCUGGGGAUAACAGGCUGAUUCCUCCCAAGAGUUCAUAUCGACGGGGGAGUUUGGCACCUCGAUGUCGGCUCAUCACAUCCUGGGGCUGUAGCCGGUCCCAAGGGUAUGGCUGUUCGCCAUUUAAAGUGGUACGUGAGCUGGGUUUAAAACGUCGUGAGACAGUUUGGUCCCUAUCUGCCGUGGGCGUUGGAGAUUUGAAGGGGGCUGCUCCUAGUACGAGAGGACCGGAGUGGACAGACCUCUGGUGUACCGGUUGUCACGCCAGUGGCAUUGCCGGGAAGCUAAGUCUGGAAGAGAUAACCGCUGAAAGCAUCUAAGCGGGAAACUUGCCUUAAGAUGAGAUUUCCCAGAGCCUUGAGCUCUUUGAAGGGUCGUUCGAGACCAGGACGUUGAUAGGUCAGGUGUGGAAGUGC
rnacentral:rRNA from 1 species